UACGUAGGGGGCAAGCGUUGUCCGGAUUCAUUGGGCGUAAAGAGCGUGUAGGCGGCCAGGUAGGUCGGUUGUGAAAACUGGAGGCUCAACCUUCAGAGGUCAACCGAAACCAUCUGGCUAGAGUCCGGGAGAGGAGAGUGGAAUUCCUGGUGUAGCGGUGAAAUGCGCAGAUAUCAGGAAGAACACCCGUGGCGAAAGCGGCUCUCUGGAACGGUACUGACGCUGAGACGCGAAAGCGUGGGGAGCGAACAGG
rnacentral:rRNA from 1 species